rnacentral:lncRNA from 10 species
GUUAUAUUCUAAUUGAAAAUUAAUUCAAAAACCAGAUCUCUUGACUUGUUCUGUUCUGUUCUUGGAUAAAAUCACAGGCACAGUUCAGAGUCUUGCUGAUUCUUUUUAUUACAUAAAAUAUCUCAUUGUAGUAAUUGGAGUCUUGUGCAGUAUAAUAUCAAAAUUCUGCCUUUUCAUUCAAUUUAAUGUUUCUUUUUUUUCCAUUUCAGGCCCUUGUUGAAUUAGAACACUGCUGCUAAAAUUGAAAGCAUGAUGGGGAAACUGAGGCCUGGAGUAACCAGUCAUAUUGCUUCCAUGCUGGGAACUCUCCAAUGACAUAUCGCACAAUACAGAGCCAACCUCAAGUUCCCCACCAUAGACCACAAGGACUUGCAAGUUCUAACCUUGCCCAAUCUCCCUUAUACGCCCUCAGUCCAUGUGCCUCUGUGAUGAUGGAUUGGGUCCUUCUUGGCUUCCUCCAAAGGGGCAGAACUGCUCUGGAAGGUUCCUCAUGGCAUUGGCAAUGAUCUUAUUCUAUGCUGCUUAAAGAGAUUAAAUUGACUUUGCUCUUGUUACAUAAUUAAUGGUUAAGAAUAAAAUUCUGAACAUUUUCAAGGAAACUUUUAAUCCUAAAGCAGGUUUUGUAUGCCUAAGCUUUGGUAUGUUUUCCCACUCAACACUCAGAAAUAAGCAGGGAACUUUCUAAAAUAAAUAACUGUUAUUCUUUUUCCCCCAGGACUUACAUUUUAUCUAUAAAUGCAUUUGUCUUUUAGUUUAGUUUAUUUAGGUAGAAUUAAAGUAGUUUUAACUUAGUUUUCCCAAUGAAAUUAGAUUUUA